rnacentral:rRNA from 1 species
ACGCUCGACACCUACGGGAGCAGCAGUGGGGAAUAUUGCACAAUGGGGGAAACCCUGAUGCAGCGAUGCCGCGUGAAGGAAGAAGUAUCUCGGUAUGUAAACUUCUAUCAGCAGGGAAGAAAAUGACGGUACCUGACUAAGAAGCCCCGGCUAACUACGUGCCAGCAGCCGACGGUAAUCUGAGGCGGGCUGGCAAGGC